rnacentral:rRNA from 1 species
AUUGAACGCUGGCGGCAGGCCUAACACAUGCAAGUCGAGCGGUAACACAGGGAGCUUGCUCCUGGGUGACGAGCGGCGGACGGGUGAGUAAUGUCUGGGAAACUGCCUGAUGGAGGGGGAUAACUACUGGAAACGGUAGCUAAUACCGCAUAACGUCGCAAGACCAAAGAGGGGGACCUUCGGGCCUCUUGCCAUCAGAUGUGCCCAGAUGGGAUUAGCUAGUAGGUGGGGUAACGGCUCACCUAGGCGACGAUCCCUAGCUGGUCUGAGAGGAUGACCGGCCACACUGGACCCAAGACACGGUCCAGACUCCUACGGGGGGCAGCAGUGGGGAAUAUUGCACAAUGGGCGCAAGCCUGAUGCAGCCAUGCCGCGUGUAUGAAGAAGGCCUUCGGGUUGUAAAGUACUUUCAGCGGGGAGGAAGGUGCUGAGGUUAAUAACCUCAGCAAUUGACGUUACCCGCAGAAGAAGCACCGGCUAACUCCGUGCCAGCCGCCGCAGUAA